rnacentral:rRNA from 1 species
UACAGAGGGUGCGAGCGUUGUCCGGAAUUACUGGGCGUAAAGGGCGCGUAGGCGGGAUGGCAAGUCGGUCGUGAAAUCCCUCGGCUCAACUGAGGAUCGUCGAUCGAUACUGCCGUUCUUGAGGAUUGCAGAGGAGACUGGAAUUCCCGGUGUAGCGGUGAAAUGUGUAGAGAUCGGGAGGAACACCGGUGGCGAAGGCGGGUCUCUGGGCAAUUCCUGACGCUGAGGCGCGAAAAGCGUGGGGGAGCAAACGGG